GUUCAUGUGGGUGGCAAAGGAUGCCGCCCACGGGUGGUAGAGGUGUUCAUGCGGGUGGUAAAGGUGGUAAAGGUGGUAAAGGUGGUAGAGGUGGUAAAGGUGGUAAAGGUGGUAAAGGUGUUCAUGCGGGUGGUAAAGGUGUUCAUGCGGGUGGUAAAGGUGGUAGAGGUGGUAAAGGUGGUAAAGGUGGUAAAGGUGGUAAAGGUGGUAAAGGUGGUAAAGGUGUUCAUGCGGGUGGUAAAGGUGUUCAUGCGGGUGGUAAAGGUGGUAAAGGUGGUAGAGGUGGUAAAGGUGGUAAAGGUGGUAAAGGUGGUAAAGGUGUUCAUGCGGGUGGUAAAGGUGUUCAUGCGGGUGGUAAAGGUGGUAAAGGUGGUAAAGGUGGUCACCUGUCUUCAUGUUACAUGGUAGGUUGUACAUUUCCCUACUCCAUGUGCUCCCUCUCCUCAAUGGGAAUCUAAAUGUGAGUAGCCCCACUCAUGGAAUGCCUCUCGUCC
ensembl:lncRNA